GAUGAACGCUGGCGGCGUGCCUAACACAUGCAAGUCGAGCGAUCUUCUUCGGAAGAGAGCGGCGGACGGGUGAGUAACGCGUGGGUAACCUGCCCUGUACACACGGAUAACAUACCGAAAGGUAUGCUAAUACGAGAUAAUAUGCUUUUAUCGCAUGGUAGAAGUAUCAAAGCUCCGGCGGUACAGGAUGGACCCGCGUCUGAUUAGCUAGUUGGUAAGGUAACGGCUUACCAAGGCGACGAUCAGUAGCCGACCUGAGAGGGUGAUCGGCCACAUUGGAACUGAGACACGGUCCAAACUCCUACGGGAGGCAGCAGUGGGGAAUAUUGCACAAUGGGCGAAAGCCUGAUGCAGCAACGCCGCGUGAGCGAUGAAGGCCUUCGGGUCGUAAAGCUCUGUCCUCAAGGAAGAUAAUGACGGUACUUGAGGAGGAAGCCCCGGCUAACUACGUGCCAGCCGCCGCCGUAA
rnacentral:rRNA from 1 species